AGCUUCGGUCCGGAGUUGAUGGGUUAUCAUUACUGUUUCACCUAUUGCAGGAGAAAAUGUACCCCUUCCCAUCAACACCAACUUGAUCGACAC
rnacentral:sRNA from 1 species